GACGUAGGUGGCGACCGUUAUCCGGAAUUAUUGGGCGUAAAGGGUGCGUAGAUGGCCUGAUAAGUUAGCAGUGGGAAAUCGAGGCUCAACCUCGUGGAAGCUGGUAAUACUGUCAGGCUCGAGUGCAGGAGAGGUUAACGGAACUCCAUGUGGAGCGGUAAAAUGUGUAGAUAUAUGGAAGAACACCAAUAACGGCGAAGGCAGUUAACUAUUCUGUUACUGACAUUGAGGCACGAAAGCGUGGGGAGCGAAACGG
rnacentral:rRNA from 1 species